CGUGCCCACGUCAGAUGCGACCGAGAUCCAUCUUCACGAACGGCGAUAAAAUAUGAGCUCAUUUGGCGUCAUAGUGUGCUCAUCUGGUGCCAUAUAAGUGCCAAAUUAUCUGCCCUCGCCUCGCUCCUUCGCUUUCAUUCCUCGGCCUCCGCAGCUAGCGCAACGCAAAGGCAGUUCCGGCGGGGGCGGACUGGGAACACAUGGGAAUGAGAUGAGAUCAUUGCUCGGUCGUGCUGGCCUGGGCCGUCGGCGCGCGUUGAUCUUGCAUGUGUUCUCAGGUCGCCCCCGGAGGGCCUUCCUUGCUGCUGUGUUCCGCUAGACCUGGAGUAUCUCGACGACGGUGGCAGGCACACGCAGUGACGGCACCACUACGUCUGUUCCGCCACGAGAGCCUAUGUAACGCACUAGCAAGGCUCGCGAUGUCGGCAUCGAGGGCAGACCAGCGGGGGACUCAUGGUGGGAGGCGCAACAAGCCGGUGGGGGAGUCUGACGACACUGACGGAGGCCAGCAUGCUGGAGGGCAGGCCAGUGGGGGAAUGACGACGGGAGGCAGGCGGGGGAUUAACGUCGGAGGGUAGGCCAGCAGGGUCCCUUGUCCCAUCAAGCCGGCAGUGGCGCCGUGCCUCUGUGCUAGUCUCGAGUGUAUAAGGCAUGGAUGACGGGAGGGUGGAGAGGAAGUGGGUCGAAAUGGUUCGUUUGUUUUUAAGGAAUCCCUAGAACCCACAUUUUCAAGAAGUAUUUUGACCCAGAACCAACCUAACCCACGAGCAUUUUGAACCAAACGUGGGUUGUUGUGGGUUGAACUCGUUCCAACCUGCAUCAACCCACUAACCAAACACAAACUCCGAGUGUAUGUUGUAUUUGGUUGAGUAGAGUGGGAGAAUAGAGUUGCUCCAUUCCAUUUUUGGAUGUUUGGUUUCUAACAAAAUGAGAGCGGAGUGGCUCCUAGAUCUUCAUAUGAAAAUUUAUUAUAAAUAGUUGGAA